UUAUUGUGUAUAAGAUGUCGGUAAUUAGAAGAAAACCCUAAUUACUGUUGUAUGUCGAUAAUUAGGACAAACCCUAAUUAUUAUAACCCUAAUCGGCUGAAGUUAGAGAUCGUAAUGACUAUGUUAGAACAUACACAGAUAAUUAGAGAACCCUAAUGGUCAAUUAGAAACCCUAAUUGAUGGCGUUAAGAAACCCUAAUU
rnacentral:lncRNA from 1 species